rnacentral:rRNA from 1 species
UGAGCAACCUGCCCUCAGCUUUGGGAUAACCCUCGGAAACGGGGGCUAAUACCGGAUAUUCACUGCUUCGCGCAUGUGGGGUGGUGGAAAGUUUUUCGGCUGGGGAUGGGCUCGCGGCCUAUCAGCUUGUUGGUGGGGUGAUGGCCUACCAAGGCGACGACGGGUAGCCGGCCUGAGAGGGCGACCGGCCGCACUGGGACUGAGACACGGCCCAGACUCCUACGGGAGGCA